UGACCAGGCCCAAGAACGUAAAGUUUGCUUUCUGCCUUCAAGUCCUGGGUGCCUUUCGGUGUUUCCCGUUUGCCAUUACACUCUGGCCUCCACGACACAGCGGGACUGCUCUCCUGUGCUCCUAGCCCACCGGGGGUCUAGUGAGGACCUAGGGAGGGACUGGGACUCGGUCUGGCCUCCCGAGUGGGAGUGCUCGGACGGGGACGUCACACCUCACUGACCGAAGAAGAAAACACGCUGUGGAAAGGACUGGCUUCCUUGGAGGGACCUGGGAACAUGUACAAUAGUUAAAAAGCAAAUGAUUUUUAGGUGAGUCACUCUCCACUGUGAAGAGCAGUGACUCCAGGACAACUUGUUGGAACAAGGAGAAAGAUUAAUAGGAAGAUGGAAAGCAGACCAAGGAGGUUGGAGGCUGAUGCCAGCAGAGACCCCCUUGCAGGAUUCUACCACAGGAGUUACCGGGAGUUGGGAGACCCAACCAAUAGCACUAUCCAGUAGGUGGCCUGCUCUUCUGACACAUGGGCUGCUGCCAUCUUGCUGGUCAUUGGAUAGUCUGGGUUCUGAGAUCUAAAGAUAACUUUCUGAUUAAAAAGUCUUAUGACUCAUCUUUAUUCCUUUCUCAGAAUAGUUGAAUUGUAGUUAAUUACUACGAUAGGGAAGGCGCCUUACCCUGAAAACAGGGGAGGUGGUGAAAGGCUUCCUGUCCCCCAGAACAAGGACACAGUGACACCCAUGGUACAGGGGAGUAGGCAUUCUCUGGGGAGCAGUCUGACCGGCAGGUGGCUUUCAUCAGGUUGUCUGCAGCAGUGAGAGUAGGGGACAGUCAUGCAGCACUUGGCUGCAUGACUAACAAAAUUUGUGAUUUCUUUUUUUUAAGCCAACUAAGGAUACAUGAAAUUAGAGAGUUUGUUUACUUGGGGGUUCCUGAGUAACAGUUUUACUAUGAAGAGUGUUUUUAAUGUUUCCUGCUUAUGAGUUUGUUCAUUUUUAGAUAUACCAGAGUGCCAUUUGUGAGAAUGUAAAGUAUUUCAACCUUUUUUGACAGCAAUUUGUCAACUUUUAGCAAAACUUUGUAUCUUGGUUUUUUAUGUAGGAAUUUUUUUUUUUCUGUACGGGGAUCAAACUCAGGACCUUGCACUUGCAAGGCAGGUGUGGUGCCACUGAGCUAAAUCCCCUGCCCAGUAGGAAUUUCUAGGAACAGCACAAUACAAUAGUGUAUACACAAAGGUGUUGUUUACUGUAAGAUAAUUUACUAGAGCAAGGUUGGUUAAACACUUUCUCACCUGGGCGUGGUGGUGACAGUUUGUUAGAAUACCUCACAGAGCUUGAUAAAACCCAUUCCUGAGACCUACUGAUUUGUAAAGGAUACCACCCAGGAACAGCCAGAUGGGAGAGAAGCAUAGGACGAGGCGAGGCGUGGGGUUGGGAUGGCCUUCCAUGCCUCUCAGAAAGUAUCCUCCUUGGCUCCACCAGGGGUUCACCAGUCUUGAGACUGAUUGAAUUACAUUGUUCAAGGACUGGCACAGUGGCAUACACCUAUAAUCCCACCUACUUGGGAGGAUGAGUCAGGAGGAUCCUGAGUUGAAGGCCCAAGCUGAUCCUCCGGCCUCAGCUUCCCAAGAAGCUACAGUCACAAGCUCACAUGUUUUGUUUUGCUUUUGAGACAGGGUCUUGCUAUGUAGUUC
ensembl:lncRNA